rnacentral:rRNA from 1 species
UACAGAGGUCUCGAGCGUUGUUCGGAUUCAUUGGGCGUAAAGGGCGCGUAGGCUGCGGGGCAAGUCGGGUGUGAAAUCUCAGAGCUCAACUCUGAAACUGCAUUCGAUACUGCCGUGCUUGAGGACUGGAGAGGAGACUGGAAUUUACGGUGUAGCGGUGAAAUGCGUAGAUAUCAGGAGGAACACCAAUGGCGAAGGCAGAUCUCUGGGCCGUAACUGACGCUGAGGAGCGAAAGCAUGGGGAGCGAACAGG